rnacentral:rRNA from 1 species
AGUGAACGCUGGCGGUAGGCCUAACACAUGCAAGUCGAACGGCAGCACAGGAGAGCUUGCUCUCUGGGUGGCGAGUGGCGGACGGGUGAGGAAUACAUCGGAAUCUACUCUGUCGUGGGGGAUAACGUAGGGAAACUUACGCUAAUACCGCAUACGACCUACGGGUGAAAGCAGGGGACCUUCGGGCCUUGCGCGAUUGAAUGAGCCGAUGUCGGAUUAGCUAGUUGGCGGGGUAAAGGCCCACCAAGGCGACGAUCCGUAGCUGGUCUGGGAGGAUGAUCAGCCACACUGGAACGGAGACGCGGUCCAGACUCCUACGGGAGGCAGCAGUGGGGAAUAUUGGACAAUGGGCGCAAGCCUGAUCCAGCCAUACCGCGUGGGUGAAGAAGGCCUUCGGGUUGUAAAGCCCUUUUGUUGGGAAAGAAAUCCAGCUGGCUAAUACCCGGUUGGGAUGACGGUACCCAAAGAAUAAGCACCGGCUAACUUCGUGCCAGCAGCCGCCGUAA